rnacentral:siRNA from 1 species
CACACAUGUGCCUGCUAUGGUC